AUGGCAGACGCAACGGCGCCGCGUCCGCUGCUCCGCCGCGUGCUCUCGUUCCGGGAGCCGCUGCUGCUCAUCCCCCACCUCGUCGUCUUCCUCGGCACCGUCGCGUCCGCCUUCUUCCACAGCUACGCCUCCUUCCUCCAGUCCUUCGCCAGGUCCAUCGUCGUCCCGUCGCCGGCCGCCUGCGCCAAGUGUCCGUACGCAACGUCGUCGGCGGUGUGCUGCGAGGACGUCGGCGCCGAGGAGGAGGACGAGGACGAGGAGCUGAGGAAGGAGGAGGUGGAGGCGAUCAUGGCCAGGAUCGGGCUGGGAGUGGCCGGCGCCGGCGAGGGGCUGAGGGCCAGCAUGGGCCACAACGAGGUGUCCCGGCUGUUCGACGCCGAGGAGCCGAGCUUCGCGGAGGUGCGGCGCGCGUUCGCGGUGUUCGACGGCGACGCGGACGGGUUCAUCGGCGCGGCGGACCUGCAGGGCGCCCUCGCGAGGCUCGGGUUCACCGACGUCGACGCCGCCGCGUGCGGGGCCAUGAUCUCGUCGAGCUGUGGGUCCACGGACGGCAGGAUGAACCUGUUCCAGUUCGUCAGAUUCCUCGAGGACGGCCUCUGCUGA
rnacentral:rRNA from 1 species